CCGGUAGCUCAGUUGGUAGAAGCGGAGGACUGAAAAUCCUUAUGUCGUGGGUCCGAGUCCCACUUGGGCC
rnacentral:tRNA from 1 species